AUCGCCCUGCGCACGUGCGCCACAGUGCGCCAUAGCUUUCUCUGCACUUUAAACGUAAAUAUAUGUAUCUGUAUGUAUCUAAUAAACAUACAGAUUUCGAAAGCAAGUUACAUCGAUAGAUCUGUAUUCGGGCUUUUGUUAUCAGUGGCUCAUCGCAGAUAAGAACAGCGGAUUCUAUAUUCUCUUAAUGAAGCCACCCCUGCACCAUCCUGCCUUCUUCUUUCUUGUAAAUAGAUAAACAAAACGCGGUGAUUACAAGAAAUGUUUCAUUGAUUGGAUUUAACCUCCUGAAGCAUAUUUGAGUUUUGCAUUGGUGAACGAAGAAACAAUCGUUUUGCAGCUUCUUUCAACUUAAAACUAUCUAGCAUUACUGUAAUCAUGUCAACGACAUUGGCAUUACCACAGAAAAAGUAUUAUAGGCAACGCGCACAUUCGAAUCCUAUAGCCGAUCACUGCAUCGAGUAUCCGACAAAACCUGAAUUAAUGGAUUGGAGUACCUUAUAUCCACAGCACUUUCAGAGUAACACUAAGCAAACGCCAGAAGUACAGAAACAUGUGGAAUUUGCUGACAUUGGUUGCGGUUAUGGAGGAUUACUGGUUACUCUGUCCUCGAUGUUCCCUGACAAUCUGAUACUUGGCAUGGAAAUCAGAGUAAAAGUAUCAGACUACGUUAUGGAUCGCAUUGCCGCUCUACGGUCGCAAAAUCCUGGUCGAUACCAAAACAUUGCCUGCCUGAGAACAAACGCCAUGAAAUAUCUACCAAAUUAUUUUUACAAAGGACAGCUAAAGAAGAUGUUUUUCCUGUAUCCAGAUCCACAUUUCAAAAAGUCGAAGCAUAAAUGGAGGAUAAUUAACAAGUCUCUGUUAGCGGAAUACGCUUAUGUUCUAGCCGAAGGAGCUAUUGUAUAUACUGUAACAGACGUGGAGGACCUACAUAAAUGGAUAAUUCAACAUUUUCAAGAGCAUCCACUGUUUGAAGAAGUUGCCAAGCAGGAUUUGGCAGCGGAUCCUGUAGUAGAAAAAUUAUACGAAAGCACUGAAGAAGGCAAGAAAGUCACUAGGAACAAAGGAAAUAAGUUUCUGGCCGUGUUCAGGAGAAUUGCAGAUCCUUGUAUUGCGACGAAUAGCUAGCAGUGGCAAUUAUUUGGCUAUAAUUACUCAACGAAGGAUAUUCUGGAUGAAGAGCGAUCUUCUUGCUGCUCGACAAAAACAUCUCCAAUGAGGUCAUUCCCAAAGAGACUGCUUCCUCGAUUGGGACUAAAUGCGAUUUCGAACAAAGCCGUUUGGCUCGCCGGUAUCCUCGCGACAGCAGGUGUUAUGUCAAAAAUUCCUUCAUCAUCUGCACACAGAAAAAUACAUACCGUCAAUUAUUUAUUUUAAAAAUUUCAAAAGUUUCAGAAAUUUAUUCUCAAAUGUAUUAUAAGUUUGUCAAAGUAUCUUUAUUAAGAAAUAUAUAGUUGUCAUUCUAUUUA